rnacentral:tRNA from 1 species
GCCGGGGUGGCUCAGCUGGUUAGAUGCCCCAUAGGGCAGGUUUAAGCGCUGGACUCAUAAUCCAGAGGUCGCGGGUUCGACUCCCGCCCCCGGCA